AGAGUUUGAUCCUGGCUCAGGAUGAACGCUGGCGGCGUGCUUAACACAUGCAAGUCGAACGAUCCUUCGGGAUAGUGGCGGACGGGUGAGUAACGCGUGGGAAUCUGCCCUCAGGAGGGGGAUAACGGCUGGAAACGGCCGCUAAUACCCCAUAUGCCGAGAGGUGAAAUGAAUUUCGCCUGAGGAUGAGCCCGCGUCUGAUUAGCUAGUUGGUGGGGUAAUGGCCUACCAAGGCAACGAUCAGUAGCUGGUCUGAGAGGAUGAUCAGCCACACUGGGACUGAGACACGGCCCAGACUCCUACGGGAGGCAGCAGUGGGGAAUUUUCCGCAAUGGGCGAAAGCCUGACGGAGCAACGCCGCGUGAGGGAUGAAGGCCUCUGGGCUGUAAACCUCUUUUCUCAAGGAAGAAGACCUGACGGUACUUGAGGAAUAAGCCACGGCUAAUUCCGUGCCAGCAGCCGCGGUAAUACGGGAGUGGCAAGCGUUAUCCGGAAUUAUUGGGCGUAAAGCGUCCGCAGGCGGCCUUGUAAGUCUGUUGUUAAAGCGUGGAGCUCAACUCCAUUUAAGCAAUGGAAACUACAAGGCUGGAGUGUGGUAGGGGCAGAGGGAAUUCCCGGUGUAGCGGUGAAAUGCGUAGAUAUCGGGAAGAACACCAGUGGCGAAGGCGCUCUGCUGGGCCAUAACUGACGCUCAUGGACGAAAGCCAGGGGAGCGAAAGGGAUUAGAUACCCCUGUAGUCCUGGCCGUAAACGAUGAACACUAGGUGUCGGGGGAAUCGACCCCCUCGGUGUCGUAGCCAACGCGUUAAGUGUUCCGCCUGGGGAGUACGCACGCAAGUGUGAAACUCAAAGGAAUUGACGGGGGCCCGCACAAGCGGUGGAGUAUGUGGUUUAAUUCGAUGCAACGCGAAGAACCUUACCAGGGUUUGACAUCCUGCGAACCCCUGAGAAAUCGGGGGGUGCCUUCGGGAGCGCAGAGACAGGUGGUGCAUGGCUGUCGUCAGCUCGUGUCGUGAGAUGUUGGGUUAAGUCCCGCAACGAGCGCAACCCACGUCUUUAGUUGCCAGCAUUCAGUUGGGCACUCUAGAGAGACCGCCGGUUAUAAACCGGAGGAAGGUGUGGAUGACGUCAAGUCAUCAUGCCCCUUACAUCCUGGGCUACACACGUACUACAAUGCUACGGACAAAGGGCAGCAAGCUCGCGAGAGUUAGCAAAUCCCAUAAACCGUGGCUCAGUUCAGAUCGUAGGCUGCAACUCGCCUACGUGAAGGAGGAAUCGCUAGUAAUCGCAGGUCAGCAUACUGCGGUGAAUACGUUCCCGGGCCUUGUACACACCGCCCGUCACACCAUGGAAGUUGGCCAUGCCCGAAGUCGUUACUCCAACCCUUGUGGAGGAGGACGCCGAAGGUGGGGCUGAUGACUGGGGA
rnacentral:rRNA from 1 species